rnacentral:tRNA from 1 species
UCCCUAGUGGCUCAGUGGUAAAGAAUCUGCCUGCCAAUGCAGGAGACACAGAUUCGAUCUCUGACUUGGGAA